GACGGAGGGGGCUAGCGUUGUUCGGAAUUACUGGGCGUAAAGGGCUCGUAGGCGGCCAACUAAGUCGGAUGUGAAAUCCCCAGGCUCAACCUGGGAACUGCAUCCGAUACUGGAUGGCUUGAAUCCGGGAGAGGGAUGCAGAAUUCCAGGUGUAGCGGUGAAAUGCGUAGAUAUCUGGAGGAAUACCGGUGGCGAAGGCGGCAUCCUGGACCGGCAUUGACGCUGAGGAGCGAAAGCUAGGGGAGCAAACGGG
rnacentral:rRNA from 1 species